rnacentral:tmRNA from 1 species
GCCCUGUUUUUCUCCAGCCUUCCACCCUAUAUUAGGCCUGCCGGUUCGCCGGCUAUGGAAAUAAAUGACCGUCGCAAUAAACCAUUCGGACCCGGGGGCAGUACCCGGCGCCUCCACCCAAGCCCACCCGAGAGCAGCGGGUUUCGGCGGGGGCGAAACAGGAUCGACGAGGGCGUAAAGGGCGCGUUUUUUCUCGGUAUGGUUCCGCCGAUAUCGGGCCAUGCAAUAGUUGCAAACGACAACUAUGCUCCGGUUGCUCAGGCUGCGUAACGCAGUUUGAAAGACCAAUCUGAAGUCCUAGCGGGUUAAGCUCCGCUAGGCGGGGUCCGGAGGCACCUGGCAACAGAAGCCUCCACU